rnacentral:lncRNA from 1 species
AUGGGGGACUUUUGGGCUAGCAUUAGAAAUGUAAUUGAGGAAAAUAUGUUAAAAAAAAAAGUCAUAAGAGCAGGCCUUCUAGAAGCAGCCCUGACAGAGGUCAGGCUGUCCCUGGUCCCUUGCAGGAGGUAAUGACGAAAAUGUUGUCAAUAAUGUUGAUCAUUCAUUUUCUCAUUUUUAAUCACACUAUACCAAGCCAGUUUUAAAAAAAUCUGCUUUAAAAAAAAAAAAAUACAUGAGGAUGCUUCUGUCCCCAUGCGAGUUGUCAGUACCUUGUCAAAUAAUGUACAAAGAAUAGGAACUAAAUACACAUUUACCUUUCUCAUUUUGUCAUCAUGUCUUCUAGUUUUUGUUUUGUAGAAGACUUAUCUACAAAAUCUCUAUAUAUAUUGAUGUGAUUAAGAAUAAUUGCUGGUCCUGGUUGCACAUACCUUUAAUCCCAGUCCUGUAGAGGCAGAGGCAAGUAGAUCUCUGUGAGUUCAAGAGCAGCCUGAUCUAUAUAGCAUCUUUCAUACUCGACAAGGCUACAUAAUGAGACAAUGUGGCAAACAAAUAAACAAAAAUAACAAUUGAACAAGAAGUUUAGUAUUAAUUUUGUCUCUGUAGUGUGGAAUUGUUUGAUUCCUUAACUUUCUAGAAAUGAUAGAGUUUAUCAGGUGCAUUGUUGAAUUUUCUUUCUGCUCUUAGUUUCUUUAUCCUGUGCUUCCCACAGAACAGGAACUCUUCUCUUCUCUUCUCUUCUCUUCUCUUCUCUUCUCUUCUCUUCUCUUCUCUUCUCUUCUCUUCUCUUCUCUUCUCUUCUCUUCUCUUCUCUUCUCUUCUCUUCUCUUCUCUUCUCUCUCUUUCUCUCUCUCUCUUUGUUUUUUGUUUGUUUGUUUGUUUGUUUGUUUGUUUGAGACAGGGUUUCUCUGUGUACCUCUGGCUGUCCUGGAACUCACUCUGUAGACCAGGCUGGCCUUGAACUCAGAAAUCCGCCUGCCUCUGCCUCCCAAGUGCAGGGAUUAAAUGCUUGUGCCACCACCGCCCGGCUUUCUCAUCUCUUCUUAAACAGAGCAUGACUCUGUGAUCUCAAAUUUCCUACAACAUGAUGUCCUGGCAGUAUUGUGUAGAAAAGGUCAUGUUUUCCAGAUAGUUAAGCACCUAUUCUUUAGGUCUUCAUUGUGAAAAAGUCUGGUGUCCUAAAUCAGCAAACCACCACUUUUCAGGCUUAAAUGUCUGCAUGUCGGUGAGGAAUUUUAUUACAGUGCAGAUUCUAAUUCAUUAUGUGGAUAGAGCCUGGGAUUCUACACUUAUAACAAGAUCCCUUGGGAUACUAAUGCAUUUGACCCUACUGCCUCACACUUAAGAGUUCCUGUUCUAGGAUUAUAUAUCUAGGAGCUAUUAAUCUUUGGAAUUGUAUUAAACCAGAACCUGUUAUCUUAGCUUUUCUUCAAACAAACAAAGGAUUUUCAAAAAUAUAACAAAAUGCUUUCUCUUUUACCCCAAUAGAACAAGCAAAAGUAUUUCUUAUGCAUUCUAUCACAAUCAGGCUGGGUUAGAUUUGCUAAAGACAUCUAAAUGUCUCUUUAGAAAAAUCUGCAGACAUCUUACUGUCAGCUAAACUUUUGGAAUGGCUGUUUUUUAUACCUAGAUGGCUAGAGUGCUUCCUCUGAUCUUCUGAUGGUUUCCGUGAAGUGCCUCGCUCAGAGUGAUAUCGCAUCCUCUGUACUUAGAUAAGCACAGUGUCUACAUUCUACUGGCUGGUUACAGAAUGAAAUGCAGUAAGAGUUGGCCUUGCUUUACCUGUUUCGUAUUACUUUUCUCUAAGCUUUCAUAACUGACUGUCAACUUUGUGUGCUAUAUUUCUUGGUACCAAAUUUAUCCUAAGUUAUACACUGAAAACUGUUCAGUCUCAGAAUGCAUACCUAACUAUGGAGUUCUUCUGAUGAAAGAAAGUUCAGGUAGUCACUUCAGAAUCACAAUGGAUGAUGACAUUUGAACACCAUCUUUAAAGGAAGAUGCAUUCCUGUCUGUUGAAUCCUGCCAAUAAACCAGUCCUGAAAUUCUAUUGAAGUUCAAAGUACAAUCCAUAUUUCUUUUGGUUCUUAUGAUCACUUCAGUUUUAUUUAUUUAUUUUUGUUUAACUAGUUGGUUGGUUUAUUUAUCAUCUGUUGUGUAAACUUCAGUCUAGGGAAGGAGAUUGAUUGAUCAAUAGUGCAUUUAUUAAUUAUACCUUCACUGGAUAAAAACUUUUCCUUGAAAUUCAGUUGGAACCUCCAUCAUAGAUUUUGUGCACAGUGACAGGGCUGGCAUUAGAACAAGAAAAGCAUACUACACUUUGAUGUAAACAAACCGGGACCUCAUAUUGUAUUCUAAUUUCUGUGUCUGAAAAUGCAAACCUUUAUAGCUAAGCUUUCUCCACUAGGAGAAGUAUGAAAUAGUCCUUUAGUGGAAUGUGUUUUUAAAUCCAGAUGACUACUGUAUAGUUCUUGGUAAGAACGAACCAGUGCCUUACAGUGGCUCUCUGGAGAUGAAAUAGAAUGGAUAGCAAUAGUGUUUGUGACAGCCAUACUACUGUGGAUUACCAGUGAGAGAUGCAAGCUGCAUAGCUUGUACAUAAACUUCUUGGAACUUAGCAGACCAGUUGUUCCCGACCACUCUUGAAACUUUACUUCUGUUAUCAGAAGGAAUUAUAUUAGAGUGUAGAUAUUAACCACCAUUGGAGGAGUCGGGCGUAAGCUCCCUCACGUGUGUUCUUAAUUCAGUUUAGUAAAAUUUCUUCCAUCUCUACAUUGAGGUUGUUUCAGGAAUGUUGGGAGCUCUGACUGACCUCCACAGCCUGUGAUGCUGUGCAGUGCAAUUGGGUGCUUUUGUUUUGCACAGGGAAGCAUGCCUAUCCUCACCCGUAACCCCGCCUCCUCCUAAAAAUGAGUGUUGACCUAAAUUUCAUGAUGAAGAACUUUUGAUAGUAAUGUUGAAAGCUGAGGGAGACGAGUGCGUUUCCCCACAACAAUGCUGCUGUCUUCUACUUAGAUCUUUGAGGCAAGCAAAACAAAGAAAAAAAAGUUUAUAGAAGAUGCAGAAAUCAGCUAAGACCUUCGUCCUUUGGAAAUAUGACUGAAAUACCAAAAUGCUAUCAAGCAGGUUCUUAACUCUUAAACCAUCAUGCCGAAUUGCUAUAAUUAUGGGCACAUCAUCUUUUUUUAAUUUAAACUUAAAGGCAAAUGUUGACAGCAAGAAGCAUCUGUAAAACUAGAGAAGAGAAAGUCAUCGUCAGACAGCUGCUAGGCCCCAAUAUCCUGGCGUGUAGGCUAAGUUGCUGAUAGUCUUUUAAAUAAGACAAGAAAGGGAUGGAGUCUUUUCUCUAGGAAGGAAGAAGAAAAUGUACCCAGAAUUGCUCUCAAGAUUUGCUAUUAUCAUAGGGUUAUAUAGUUAUUUUUUUUCUUUUACUUAUUAAGGACAAGGGAUCAUUUCAUUAGCUAUAUUCUGAAGUUCAGU